UGCAGAUGCAGUGUGGCUCUGGAUAGCACCUUAUGGACAGUUGUGUCCCCAAGGAAGGAUGAGAAUAGCUACUGAAGUCCUAAACAGCAAGCCUAACUCAAGCCAUUGGCACACAGGCAUUAGACAGAAAGCUGGAAGUUGAAAUGGUGGAGUCCAACUUGCCUGGACCAGCUUAAUGGUUCUGCUCCUGGUAACGUUUUUAUCCAUGGAUGACUUGCUUGGGUAUGGAGAGUCGGCUUGACUACACUGUGUGGAGCAACUUUUAAAGAAGCAAAGGACUCAGAAUUCAUGAUUGAAGAAAUGCAGGUUAGUUUAAACUUUUAAGGAAAUUUUUAAGGUGGCAAAAGGUUUUGGUGGCAUAUACACCUUAAUCUGUAGAUGGGAGUGAUUAGCUGUUUAAAAGUUAAAAUGUGACUGAGAAGGAAAUUGAGUAGGGCAAAUUUUAAAUGGGUAUUAUUUUUCAUCUUCAAACAGGCAGACCUGUUAUCCUAAACUAG
rnacentral:sRNA from 1 species